UUGUAGGGAAAAAAGUAAAUCUCACCUGCAGAGUCUCUCAGGAAUGUGACAAAUACUGCUUGAAAAUGUAUAAGUUUAAAUUCCCCAAUGACACAAUACUCUGUAAACAAGAGUAUCCUGUGAACUGUGAUCAGAGUAAGAACUUCACAUGCAGCUACACUCCAACUACUAAAAUUGAAGAAAAAUCAUAUUCUUUGUGCAAGCGAUCUGUGGAAAGAAAACAACAGAAUUCACUGUGGAUAUAAAAGAACCAUUAAAAACCAUAGGUGGUCCUGAAUCUAAGGAUACUGCCAUCGCUGCAGCUGUGGGAUCUUUCAGCAUCGUUCUCAUCAUCAUCAUCAUGACUAUCAUUUUCAAAAAAACAAAAACAAAAUCUUGUGGAAAUGUGAUAUAACAGCAUCGACUCAGCAGUACGAGUUCUCAUGUGCUGCUCAUGAAACACACAUCUUAAUUUUAACUCCACUCUUAACUACACACUGUACUCUACUAUCUGAUGUAUCUCUAACUUCUGAAUAUAUAACUCUGGAUGUUGGUUUCUGUUUUAUAGACGGUUUCAUCGGGCGCACGAGCAGUAACGUUUGCUUAUGUUGUUGCCGUUGAAACCAUCUAUAUUGAUUUCUGUGAAAUAACACCAUAUUAUUGAUCGGUUUGAUCAGUGUGUAUAUUUGUACAGUAUAUGUGACUUUAAUGAACUCAAACCUUUGUGAACUAUAAGAGGAAACACAGCUUAACUUAAACUGUCUUCGGUUUUGCAGUUUUUUCAGAAUUUCAAGGAAUGUCUAAAAUGAAUGUUGAUGUAUUAAUGUUAAUAUAAUUCAAGUUUGGAAAUGAUUUCUUAAUAUUUUGCACAAAUGAUUUGCAAAAUGAGAAUUGUGUGGUCUUGUACUGUCUUAUAUUAUUUUUAAAGAACAUUUAAAUGAAUAAAGACUUGUAAUACUCUCUGAAAA